UAUACAGCGGUUCUCAGCCUUGUUACAUCCACGCGUACUACCUACAUCCUACACGGUUUGAAAAUUUUCAUCUACCACUUGAUUAAAUGACCUUUAUUUUUAUUUAUCAAAAAUAUAUACGUUUAUUUUACAUGUAUGGAAUUUUACUUUAUCAGGAACUACGCAACUGUGAUGUUAUAAGCUUGUUUAAUGCACAAAAAUAAAAUAAAAUAUAUCCAUAUGAUUGUUAUUGUAAUGAUUAUGGUUUACUUCAACGGGACAAUUGGUGUUAUUCUCAACGAACGACUACGUCACUGACAUCAAUAUCGGUCUCCAUGUGUGUAGUUUUAAGUCUUAAUUUGAUUUUCAGCGUUUAACUUAUUUUAUAUUUAUUAUUUGUGUACAAUUUGUGGGAAAAUACAAAUGUGACACAAAAUGGAUUAAAAAUUUUAAAGCUUGUAUGGGCAACGUUGAUCAAAAAACGUUUUAUUGUUUCACGUCCAGUCUAAAAAUUUGUGAUAUUUUUGGUUUCAGAGUUGUUUUUGGAACAGAGUCACUGUUUCGGUUAACACAUGUUUCUUUUGCCAAAAUGUCAUCUGGAAUGUUCUAUGUACAUAAUCUUCUUCAAAAAGAGGAUUAGGGAAAUUUUCUUCGUGUAACACCUAUGAAGAGCUUUCCAUACACCACUAGUGAAAGCAAAAUUAUUGUUUACCUGCGGCGAAUCCGCUGAACAGUAGCAAGAACGUUUUAUGAAUAUUGCAACUCACAAGUUUCACGUUCGAAAUAAUGAUACGUGAACGAGUGGACGGGAAGAAUCGAUAAACCUCAUUUAAAGCGAUUGGAAAUCGGCGGAAACAGCACAGAAGCCGGAACGGGCG